AGAUGUGAGGGCGAUCCAGCUGCAACAUCUGUCACCCCAUUGGUCACCAGUUGAGGAGGUUGAUCUGGCUGGUUAGGCGGGUUUCCCCUUCCUCUUUCACUAUGAAGCUGCACAUGAAGAUGUCUAAGAUGACAACUUUCCCUGAUAGAGAAGGACCAUUUCUUGGUCAAGGGUAUAUAAGCAGCUGUGCUCCCCAGCCAGAACCUCCAAACAAGUUCUCAAGGUCCAUUUGUAGGAGAAGGGAGGAUAGUCAAGCUUCCACAAACUUAAACCAACAAAAAACAGUAUAU
ensembl:misc_RNA 7SK 7SK RNA